rnacentral:lncRNA from 1 species
UUUUAUGCAUUUAAUAAAGGUUAAGUAUUUAUUUAAGUACCUUAAUGAAAAGGCAUUAAACAAAUACCUAAAUUUUAUUAUUUUUCCUAAGGUAUAAGAAUUUUAAUGCAUAAAGGAAAAUAAAACAAUCCUAACAAAAUUGGUUUCACUAAUUUAGGACACUCCUAGAAAUUUCUGUGAUUUAAAUGGUGAUAAACAAAUUUAAUCUAUUAAUCUAAUAAAGAAAAACCUACAUUUAUUCCUAAACCCCCGGCCCAACUUUUCUCACUCGCUCCCUCUCUACCCUCUCUCACUUGCGCUGGGCUGGCAGCUCGGGUCCACCUUCUUCUCUUCUCUCUCUUACCCGCCGGCCACCCCUCUUACUGCUGGGCCCACUGGGCCGAUUUCUCUUCCUUCCUCCUUUCCUAUUCCUCUGCCAGCCCAACGGCCCACUUUUCUUUUUCUUUUCUCCCUCCGGCGCUCGGCUUGUUGAACCGGCCCAACCUUUCCUGGGCCUCCGCUCCGCCUCGGCCUGCGACCACUUCUACGGCCCGAGCUCAGUCGCACACCCGCCUUCUCUUUCCCUCUCUCCUUCCUAUUUUUCCAGCCGACCCACCUGUACAACUCUCCUUUGGCCUGGCACCUGGGCCUUCUAGACCGGCCUAUGCCUCACCCCUUCACCCGGCCGAC